GAAUAAUCCAAGAAUAAUUUCACUAAACUUGAGCUCAAGCAAAUUGUCAGGCCGGAUAGAUGCUGCAUUCUCUAAACUCACAAAUUUAGAGAUUCUAGAUUUGUCAAACAAUGAACUGACCGGGGGCCUGCCAGAAUUUUUAGCACAAUUACCGCGUCUGAA